rnacentral:rRNA from 1 species
CCUACGGGUGGCAGCAGUGGGGAAUAUUGGACAAUGGGCGAAAGCCUGAUCCAGCCAUGCCGCGUGUGUGAAGAAGGCCUUCGGGUUGUAAAGCACUUUCAGUGGGGAAGAAAGCCUUGGGGCUAAUACCCUCGAGGAAGGACAUCACCCACAGAAGAAGCACCGGCUAACUCCGUGCCAGCAGCCGCGGUAAUAAGGAGGGUGCGAGCGUUAAUCGGAAUUACUGGGCGUAAAGCGCGCGUAGGCGGUCUGAUAAGCCGGUUGUGAAAGCCCCGGGCUCAACCUGGGAACGGCAUCCGGAACUGUCAGGCUAGAGUGCAGGAGAGGAAGGUAGAAUUCCCGGUGUAGCAGUGAAAUGCGUAGAGAUCGGGAGGAAUACCAGUGGCGAAGGCGGCCUUCUGGACUGACACUGACGCUGAGGUGCGAAAGCGUGGGUAGCAAACAGGAUUAGAUACCCCAGUAGUC